UACGUAGGCAGCGAGCGUUGUUCGGAGUUACUGGGCGUAAAGGGUGUGUAGGCGGUUUUCUAAGUUUGGUGUGAAAUCUCCCGGCUCAACCGGGAGGGUGCGCCGAAAACUGGGAGACUAGAGUGCGGGAUGGGAGAGUAGAAUUCCUGGUGUAGCGGUGAAAUGCGUAGAUAUCAGGAGGAAUACCGGGGGUGAAGACGGCUCUCUGGACCGCCACUGACGCUGAGACACGAAAGCGUGGGUAGCAAACAGG
rnacentral:rRNA from 1 species